GAGGGUACAGCUCAGUGGUAGAGUAUAUGCUUAGCACGCACGAGGUCCUGGGUUCAAUCCCCAGUACCUCCA
rfam:Camelus ferus unplaced genomic scaffold scaffold2246, whole genome shotgun sequence.